GACGUAGGGCGCGAGCGUUGUCCGGAUUUAUUGGGCGUAAAGAGCUCGUAGGCGGCUUGUCGCGUCGUCCGUGAAAACCUGCAGCUCAACUGCAGGCUUGCGGUCGAUACGGGCAGGCUAGAGUUCGGUAGGGGAGACUGGAAUUCCUGGUGUAGCGGUGAAAUGCGCAGAUAUCAGGAGGAAGACCAGUGGCGAAGGCGGGUCUCUGGACAGUUCCUGACGCUGAGGCACGAAGGCCAGGGGAGCAAACGGG
rnacentral:rRNA from 1 species